UAGCAGUUGGUUCUAGAUCCUUAUGAAUCAAUACAGUAGCAAGAUGAUCAGCUUUUCCACACAAUGAGAUGUCACAAACUAGAUCAUGACUCAAAGAUGAAAAUUCAGGAGAUUUUCUGCCCAGAGCAUGAAAUUUACCAUGGCUGGAACUGUAAAUCUGAUGUAACGUCUGUGGCAAGAAUGGGAGAGGGAGAAAAAUCUUGGCUGGCUCUACUGGGACUGAACACAGCACUGGUAGACAGUGGCCUUGCAGAAAGAAUUGUGGCAGUCAUUGUGGAAUUGGGAACUACCUCAAAAGGUACUAGGAAGAGAAUAGAGGAAGUGGCUUGGACAGGAAGACUGAAGGAGAGAUGCUGAGGCCAAGGGAGCCUCAAGGACUUAGAUAAAGUUUCCAGAAUAACAACCAUCAAGCCAGUAGAGACGGGGUUUCACCAUGUUAGCCAAGAUGCUGCCGAUCUCCUGACCUCGUGAUCUGCCCGCCUCGGCCUCCCAAAGUGCUGGG
rnacentral:lncRNA from 1 species